rnacentral:rRNA from 1 species
AUGGGCCCGAAGAGAAAACUGGAUGACCUGGCCCAGCCAUCCAGCAGCGGCGGCGGAGGCGAUGAUAGACCGACGAAGGCGCCACGGCUCUCGCCGCCGCCCGCGCAGUCGCCCUCUCGCGACCAGACGGCGCCUCCCACCUCACCGCCUCCGCUUCAGCCGCCAGGGUCCCCACCGCCUCCCGCCGACAAAGAUCCGGUGGAGCUGGAAGAGGGGGAGCUAGAAGAUGAUGCAGAUUCACAAGAGGAAGCAGAGGAUGAUCAGGAUUCGGAUGAGGAGCUCGGAGGAUCACUUCCUGAACUUGCACUCGGCACACAAGAGUAUCUUUCACUGCGAGAAACCUCGAGCCAGUUCCUGGAUGGCAAGAGAACGUACCUCAAACCGCAAAAGGACUGCCGUAUCCUCAUUGGUGUUUUCCGGUGUCCAGAUGAUCGUCCGACAGCAUUAGGAAGUGAGGAACAACUCGCAGAAUUGGUUCGUGAAUCUCCAGAUAACUCUAUCAUCCAGGAAAAGAUGAAGAUUCUCAGUAAGCAUUAUGUGCUCUUCCGAAGAACUCGCCAAGAUGGCAGCUGUUUUUACAGAGCUUUUCUGUUUUCCUACAUGGAGAUCCUUCGACAAAUGCAAGAUAAACAAGCUGAGGUUACUCGUCUUAUGGAAUGUUUGGAAAUGUAUACAGAUAGAUUCUCUCGUCUUAAGUGGGACAAAGCAUACUUCUUCAAUCCUGAAAAAUACUUCUCAAGUGUUGUUUCUGAGCUCAAUGAGGUUCUCAACGUCAUUGCAGCAGGCUGUACUUCUGAAUGGCUGUACAAGAGAAGCCUGCAGGAGACCUUUUCAGGCAGGAUUAUAUCUUUCCUUAGGUUGCUUACUGAGACUGAAAUCCGGACAGAAGAGUUCUACAAGCAAUCUAUCCCCCAAAAUUUGAAUGUCCUCCAGUUCUGUUGGAAAACGGUGCGAUCGCUGGAUGCUGAAGCUACCACUACACAAAUGAGGGCUUUGACAUACACGCUCGGCAUACCGUUGCGUGUCGAAGUCGUGGAUAAGAGCUCGACGGGUCAAGGUGUGUUAGUGAAGCGCCUCGAUUUCUUUCAUCAGGCAGACUUGAACAAGGGCCCUCUCCAUUUGACUCGGGGCUACCUUUCCUCGAGCACAGCUCCUAAACUGCUGGAGGAGGGAGGCGACGAUGCCAACUUGUUAUCAUCUGAUGGCGCGCCCUUGCUGACCUUGCUGUGUAGGCGUGGUCACUGUGACAUUCUUUACCGCAAGUGA